UUGCUUGGGCAGCAUACGCACUAAAAUUGUAAUGAUCCAGAGAAGAUGAGCAUGGUUCCCAUGCAGUGAUGACAUGCAAAUUUGUGAAGCAUUCCAUAUUUUU